GUCGUACGAGUUCUCGUUGAUGAUCGGUGCUUGCACCGAGAUUCAACAUGGAACGAGUGGCGGACGGGUGAGUAACACGUGGGUAACCUGCCCUUAAGUGGGGGAUAACAUUUGGAAACAGAUGCUAAUACCGCAUAGAUCCAAGAACCGCAUGGUUCUUGGCUGAAAGAUGGCGUAAGCUAUCGCUUUUGGAUGGACCCGCGGCGUAUUAGCUAGUUGGUGAGGUAAUGGCUCACCAAGGCGAUGAUACGUAGCCGAACUGAGAGGUUGAUCGGCCACAUUGGGACUGAGACACGGCCCAAACUCCUACGGGAGGCAGCAGUAGGGAAUCUUCCACAAUGGACGCAAGUCUGAUGAAGCAACGCCGCGUGAGUGAAGAAGGCUUUCGGGUCGUAAAACUCUGUUGUUGGAGAAGAAUGGUCGGCAGAGUAACUGUUGUCGGCGUGACGGUAUCCAACCAGAAAGCCACGGCUAACUACGUGCCAGCAGCCGCGGUAAUACGUAGGUGGCAAGCGUUAUCCGGAUUUAUUGGGCGUAAAGCGAGCGCAGGCGGUUUUUUAAGUCUGAUGUGAAAGCCCUCGGCUUAACCGAGGAAGCGCAUCGGAAACUGGGAAACUUGAGUGCAGAAGAGGACAGUGGAACUCCAUGUGUAGCGGUGAAAUGCGUAGAUAUAUGGAAGAACACCAGUGGCGAAGGCGGCUGUCUGGUCUGUAACUGACGCUGAGGCUCGAAAGCAUGGGUAGCGAACAGGAUUAGAUACCCUGGUAGUCCAUGCCGUAAACGAUGAAUGCUAGGUGUUGGAGGGUUUC
rnacentral:rRNA from 1 species